rnacentral:rRNA from 1 species
CCAAGGAGUCUAACAUGUGCGCGAGUCUCCGGGUGAUCGAAACCCGUGGGCGCAAUGAAAGUAAAGGCCGCGCUCGCGCGGCUGAGGUGAGAAGCGGCACACGCGUGUCGCCGCAUCAUCGACCGACCUUAUCUGCUCUCAGAGAGGUUUGAGUAAGAGCGUAUCUGUUGGGACCCGAAAGAUGGUGAACUAUGCCUGAAUAGGGUGAAGCCAGCGGAAACACUGGUGGAAGCUCGUAGCGAUUCUGACGUGCAAAUCGAUCGUCGAAUUUGGGUAUAGCGGCGAAAGACUAAUCGAACCAUCUAGUAGCUGGUUCCCUCCGAAGUUUCCCUCAGGAUAGCUGGAG